UGGAAAGGAAGUUGGCAGACAUGGAAACCUGCCUGGUGCUGUGUCUUCUUAGUACUUGGAACAGUGCCCGAGUCACUGUGGGUGCUCAGCAAGCGUUGACUGCGUGAAAGACAGAAUACAUUUUUCAUCCUAAAUUCUAUCUGAAGUUCCUGUCACUCAGGUGGCAGGAUGAUGGAGGCUUUCUGAUUCCCAGAAUUCAUCUUUCUCAGCUUCCUAACUGAAGCAACAAUGUGACAACGGUCUCAAGUUCCUGCUAUCAUGCCCUCCCUGUG